rnacentral:rRNA from 1 species
UACGUAGGUGGCAAGCGUUGUCCGGAUUUAUUGGGUUUAAAGGGUGCGUAGGCGGUCUGUUAAGUCAGUGGUGAAAUCCGGCAGCUCAACUGUCGAUGUGCCAUUGAUACUGGCGGACUUGAGUACUGAUGAGGUAGGCGGAAUGGACGGUGUAGCGGUGGAAUGCUUAGAUAUCCGGAAGAACACCGGUGGCGAAGGCGGCUCGCUGGGCAGUAGCUGACGCUGAGGCGCGACAGCGUGGGGAGCAAACAGGAUUAGAAACCCUAGUAGU